rnacentral:lncRNA from 1 species
GAUAAUCCAGGUCACCGUUUUACUGUGGAGAAUUAUUGUUUUAUUGUGUAGAACUGCCGAUUCCUUUCUAGCAUAUAUAUACAGAACUAGAAUGUGGUGACCUAUUCCCAGGUCGGACCAAGUGAUUUUGUGCCAACCCGGUGUUUUUAAAUCAUUGGUUUCAGUGAAUGGAGAGGACGAUUAGGGUGAUGAGUUGGCAUCAAUUUACGCAUGCACUUUGUGUACUGUUUGGGUCAUAUGAGUAGGCAGAUCAAGGGGGAGCACUUUGUUUGGAUCAUAUGAGUAGGCAGAUCAAGGGGGAGCACUUUCCAACAUUUAGAAAUCCAAAUUGGUAAACAAGUAUCAAUCCAGAUUCGAACAUUUGGCUUCUCAUUAUCGGGGGUGGCAAUGGGCUGGGUGGCUCGCGCACCGAGCUGGUUAGCCCGACUCAAAGAAAUUAAAGCUUGGGCCAUGAAAUAUUGCUUGAGGGUUGGGGCUGCCAUGGCUCAAGGGUAAGGCUAGGCUGGGCCAGCCUAGGCCAACGUUGGCCCGGUUCAACUAGAGCAGGCUCUCUUUUUUUGUUUUUUCUUUUUCAAAUUUAUUUGGCCCAGCCGGCCCACGCACCGGCCAUUUUGGCCCGCUUAAGGCUAGGCCAGACCGACGCCAGCCCUAUGGGGACUAGGGUCAAGGUUGGCCUCGUGUCCAGCCCUGCUGUCCGAUUUGAAAGAGGAAAUGCAUGUGGGGGUUCAAAAGCUACAACAUGUAAAGGUGAUUUAGGCCUCAGAAGUUAGAAGUUGGCAAGUUGUAAGAAGGAAAUGUAGGCGUACAGGGUCAAGGCAAGCGAGCAAAGGAGGGAAGCACCGUUUGGUCGAGCAUUGCCACUGAUCAAGAAUCGAACACCAGCUGAGAUGCAGAAAGGAGAAAGUAUGCUUUAAUUGCAACAACUUUGCCCCUGGCGUAAACCCAAGAGACAACUAGUCAUAACCAUGGAAUUUGAAUUUGAAGAUGAUGAUAAGGGGAGGGAAAUGAUACAACCCUUUUUCAUUCUUUCUAUUUCAGUUUUAGCUCGAUUUAAUGUAAAGAUGGAGAUAACGAGAGUCAGGGUCUAUCUAUCAAUUGAAAGGACAUCAACUCAAAUCUUGGAUCUUCGAAUUGAGAGAGAUCUAGA